rnacentral:rRNA from 1 species
UACGUAGGGUGCGAGCGUUGUCCGGAAUUACUGGGCGUAAAGAGCUCGUAGGUGGUUUGUCGCGUUGUUCGUGAAAACUCACAGCUUAACUGUGGGCGUGCGGGCGAUACGGGCAGACUGGAGUACUGCAGGGGAGACUGGAAUUCCUGGUGUAGCGGUGAAAUGCGCAGAUAUCAGGAGGAACACCGAUGGCGAAGGCAGGUCUCUGGGCUGACACUGACGCUCAUGCACGAAAGCGUGGGGAGCAAACAGG